UUUCCUUUGCUGUGUAAAAGUCAGACUCCACUAAGCAGCUGAACUGAACUAAACUUGCUGUGUGAAAUACUGCCGUCGGUCGUGCCCGACUCUUUGUGACCCCAUGGACUGCAUGCAGCACGUCAGGAGGCUUCCCUGUCCUUCACCAUCUGCCGGAGCUUGCUCAAACUCAUGUCCAUUGAGUCAGUGAUGCCAUCCAACCAUCUUGUCCUCUGUCAUCCCCUUCUCCUCCUGCCGUCAAUCUUUCGCAGCAUUGCAGGCUGUUUUACCCUCAA